rnacentral:rRNA from 1 species
AUGAGCUCUACAACAGUAGAACUGUACAGAAAAGAGAGGGGAGAGAACAAAAUCCCCAUGGGGAUGUUUCUUGAGCAGGCAGGAGAGGAUACAUCAGCUUCAGAGGUUCUUCUUGGCCCCACUGAAGCACUCAGACAUGACACAUAUACAUACACAAGUCUGUCUCACUGUCUAGCCCUCUCUCCCCCUCUCUUUUUCCUGAAUCCUCCCCUCACCCAUGCCUGCCGCCGUACAUCAAAUGGUGUUUCUGGAAGACAAAAAGGGGAGAAAAGAAGAAAAAGAAAAGGGGCGAUGAAUGGAUGGAUGGGUGGAUGGAAGAUUGACUGGGGAACAAGGGAUCUCCCCACUUCCUUUUCCUUCCACGGGUCAAUUCAAACCUGUCAUUUGGUGCAUAGCAGCAGUAGUAGGCUGCUGGUGGUGGUGGUAGUAAACUUGUUCCACCGCUGGUUGUUCAGCUCAUGCAAAGAAAGGCAUCGCAUCAGAUCUCCUCGUCAUCUUCUUUACGAACUGCCCCUGUCAUUUAUUGGGAACUGGAGACACGGCGGCGUAGGGGCUCUGGUGCACGUAGCCGUACAUCGCCGGCGUCGCGGGCACGGCUUCUGCCUCUGGCUCUGGCCCGCAGUCGAGGUUCACGCCGAACAGCCUGAGCCGGCGUGUGGGUGCCGAGGCUGGGCUGCAGCUCCUGGUGUCUGCGUCCCACUGGGAUUCUCCUGCGAUUGUUCAUUCACCAGAAAUGGCGUUAGAGCGUUCAUGGUGAUGGUGCUUCAAGUUCCCAAACGCCAGGAUGAGAACUGGACCUGCACAGAGAUCGUGCACCCUUCUCCAGUUCCCAACGGAUUGUGA